AAUUUUGGACAAUGGGCGCAAGCCUGAUCCAGCAAUGCCGCGUGAGUGAAGAAGGCCUUCGGGUUGUAAAGCUCUUUUGUCGGGGAAGAAACGGCGGAGGUUAAUACCUUCUGCUAAUGACGUUAACCGGAGAAGAAGCCCCGGCUAACUACGUGCCAGCAGCCGCGGUAAUACGUAGGGGGCGAGCGUUGUCCGGAUUUAUUGGGCGUAAAGGGCGCGUAGGCGGUGCUUUAAGUUUGGAGUGACAGUGGGUGGCUUAACUACCCAAGGCCUUUGAAAACUGGAGCACUUGAGGACCAGAGAGGGACAUAGAAUUCCGGGUGGAGUGGUGAAAUGCGUAGAUAUCCGGAGGAAUACCAAAGGCGAAGGCAGUGUCCUGGAGGGUGACUGACGCUGAGGCGCGAAAGCUAGGGGAGCGAA
rnacentral:rRNA from 1 species